CGAAAGCCUGACGGAGCAACGCCGCGUGAGGGAUGAAGGCCUCUGGGCUGUAAACCUCUUUUAUCAAGGAAGAAGAUCUGACGGUACUUGAUGAAUAAGCCACGGUUAAUUCCGUGCCAGCAGCCGCGGUAAUACGGGAGUGGCAAGCGUUAUCCGGAAUUAUUGGGCGUAAAGCGUCCGCAGGCGGCCUUGAAAGUCUGUCGUUAAAGCGUGGAGCUUAACUCCAUUUCAGCGAUGGAAACUACAAGGCUUGAGUGUGGUAGGGGCAGAGGGAAUUCCCGGUGUAGCGGUGAAAUGCGUAGAUAUCGGGAAGAACACCAGUGGCGAAGGCGCUCUGCUGGGCCAUAACUGACGCUCAUGGACGAAAGCCAGGGGAGCG
rnacentral:rRNA from 1 species